UUAAACUUAAUGGCCAAAGCUGAACCUUAAGUAUCAGAAUCUGGAACUCUGUAAUCUAAAAUGUUAUUUUAAAAGCUAAAAAUUUAUUCUGUGUAUCACUCAGAUGCUGAAAUAUUCUAUUCUUAUAAAGUACCAUAAAAAGGGUCUUUGAGAAUUCUCUCAAAGGGAUACCCACGAAAAAGUUUUUCCUUAAACUUUUCAUUCUUAAUUCAAGACAAGACUACACAAAAGAUACCCUGAACUGAGCACCAAUGUGAACAGAUACACACACUUCCCAAAACUCAUAUAUAAAGUCCUCUCCCAAACCAAAGGUUGGCUUUUUGAAAGAAAAGACUGAGACUGAUUUAAUUGAGAAAAAACAUGUCUUUAAGUUUUAUCAUACAGCCUUAUUUUAAAAUAUAGUUAAAAUGUUACAUUUGAACCAAGAAUGAUACUAGUUUAUUCAUAACUGCAUUGUUUUAAAAACCUAGAAAAAUGAGUUUUAAACCAAUUAAUUAACCUGAAAAAACUGUCAUUACUUUUAGAAUAUACCAAAUAGUGAUCUCACACUAGUGAUUUCAAAUGUCAACCUUAGUGAUGAUGUAUUUACAUAUUUUAAGCCAACAUCAAUUAGCAUUGAGUUUUUCAUGUUAUUUUCACCUGCCCAAAUGGUGACUUCAUUUACUCUAUUAUGUUUCAAUACAAAAUGACUGCUUACAUACACAAACACAAUUUUAGGGCGUAGUUAAAUAUUUUGUAAACGUUUUUUUUUCUUUUUUUUUUUGAGGGUGUAUCACAUAAUAAGUUGAAAGAUGUGUAUAUCUUGGCUGAAACACUUCCUAGACAUAAAGCACAUUGCAGAGUUUGUACUGAACAUUUCAUAUAAUAACACUUAAAGACAAAUAUCUAAUAACUCCAUAUACCACAUAUCACAUAAUAUCUGUGGCAAAUGUACAAUAUUUUAUAAAUAAACUUUACCCAAAUAUUGCAGAAAAAAAACUUUGGGGUACAUUAUAUAUAAAUACAGAGACAGCUGAGUUGUGAUUUUUAAUUUAGGUAUAUAUACUGUAAUAUGCUCACCAGUUCUUUUCCUAAAUUUUUUUUUUUUUUUUUUUACUCUCCCUGAGUCCAUUCCAUAUUUAGCAACACAGUUACAUUUU